rnacentral:rRNA from 1 species
AACGCGAAGAACCUUACCAGGUCUUGACAUCCCUCUGAAUCUGCUAGAGAUAGCAGCGGCCUUCGGGACAGAGGAGACAGGUGGUGCAUGGUUGUCGUCAGCUCGUGUCGUGAGAUGUUGGGUUAAGUCCCGCAACGAGCGCAACCCUUAACUUUAGUUGCCAGCAAGUCAUGUUGGGCACUCUAGAGUGACUGCCGGUGACAAACCGGAGGAAGGUGGGGAUGACGUCAAAUCAUCAUGCCCCUUAUGACCUGGGCUACACACGUACUACAAUGGCCGGUACAACGGGAAGCGAAGCCGCGAGGUGAAGCCAAUCCCAUCAAAGCCGGUCUCAGUUCGGAUUGCAGGCUGCAACUCGCCUGCAUGAAGUCGGAAUUGCUAGUAAUCGCGGAUCAGCAUGCCGCGGUGAAUACGUUCCCGGGCCUUGUACACACCGUAGAGAC